CGGAAGAAAGGGAGCAACUCCCCGGUACAGUGGCGCACGGUGAGUAACACGUAGGUAAUCUGCCUUGGGUGUUGGAUAACCUUCGAAAGGAGGGCUAAUACAGCGUAAGACCACGAGCACGAAAGUGCUUGAGGUCAAAGUAGGCCUCUGUAAACAAGCUUACGCCUGAGGAUGAGCCUGCGGCCCAUCAGCUAGUUGGUAGGGUAAUGGCUUACCAAGGCAAAGACGGGUAGCUGGUCUGAGAGGAUGAUCAGCCACACUGGAACUGAGACACGGUCCAGACUCCUACGGGAGGCAGCAGUGGGGAAUCUUGCGCAAUGGGGGAAACCCUGGACGCAGCGACGCCGCGUGAGUGAUGAAGGCCUUCGGGUUGUAAAGCUCUGUGGGGAGAGACGAAUAAGUGUAGUCGAAUAGACUGCAUGAUGACGGUAUCUCCUUAGCAAGCACCGGCUAACUCUGUGCCAGCAGCCGCGGUAAGACAGAGGGUGCAAACGUUGUUCGGAAUGACUGGG
rnacentral:rRNA from 1 species